GGUGUGAUAGAAGUGCCAUGGGCCCAAUUUUUGUAUUCGAGGAUUUAAAAAUAGAUCUGGGAUUGAGAAAAAAUCAUGCACAUAUGGUUUUGAGAAUGAAGCUCGUUUGAGGUCUCAAAUGGCUCCCAGGUCCGGCGGUGUCUCAGUACCCAAUUUUUGUAUGCUACUUCCACCGAAAUCUCACUUCUCAAAACAGAGGAAGAAGCUCUCGUAAGCUGUAGAAGAAAAAAAUCUUCAGUCAUGUCAAAUGAGGAGCACCACUUCGUACCAAGGCCGACGUCGGAGCCUCCAAUACCUACCAAAACAGGUCAAAACUAUCCGGAAGAACGGCUACAUCAUCGAACCAUCCAUGCAAGGUAAAAAAGGGUAUGAAGUUAUGGUCCAAGGUGGAGUUAUUGAUGACUUGGCGAGGCAUAUUCCAAAAAAUCACAUUGAAGUACUUGAUAAAACAAGGAAAUGAGAGGCUAGAGCUGGACAUGAUUUCCACACAUAUCAUGCCUACUACCAAUAUCGGCAGAGGGGGUAUGGUAUUAACUGUGUGUACAAGGUUUGUGUUCGUGGUCGUCUCUUCAACAAGAAUAUGUUAAAAACAUACAUUCCAUUACCAUACUUGUACUGUUGACUAUCAUAUGCAUCUUUCUAUUGAAGUUUAAACAGUCAAAAUUUCUGUAUUAAGAAUGAUUGCAUUUGAGUUUUUGUGAACUUGAAGAAGAUUUUUUCAGCUAAGUGAAUUGCAAUAGCACUAGAGGGAUUUAACUCUUGAUGUCACUUCUCAUUGAAUGUUCGUUGAUGACUAUGGAAAACAUGGAAGAAGGGAAAACGCCAUUUAGAAUUUUCUACACUAACAAGCACUUCCCCCAGCUUUGUUUUUCUGUUCCUGUGUGCAACAUACAUUACAAAUAAUUACACACUUCAUUUAUUUGCUUUCUAUCAUUAGCGAAUAUCAUAUCUUUGUAUAGGAUUUGUGAAGGUUUAAUGGCAUUGGUAGAGAUAUACUUGGAAUUUGAAAAUAGACAUGUUAAAAAAUUUGAAAUGUCAGUUGGAAGUGGAUUCCUCUAUUUUUGUGAGUUUUUAUUAUUGACUUAAAAUUUGAAACUGUGCAUCUCUAUAUGGGUUUGAAGAGGGGGAGAGAAUUGAGGUUGGUGAAUGCAAUAUACAAAAAGGUUGGUGGAAAUGUUUGAAAUCAUCUUGGAUGAGAUGUAUUUGUGAUAUUUAUGUCAAAAUUUAAACCUUUGAAUACAAGAAUAAUAUUUGUGAUGUUUGUUAUCAAUAUGAGUUAAUGUUUUAAAAAACUAUGUCUCUUAUAAGAGAAAACACAUUAAAAGCCGAACAAUGAAGUUUAUGCCGAGCAAGCUGAACUUUGGAGUAAUAAUUAUUUAUUUAACCUUUUGGAAUUAGUUAGCAAGCUGAUGCCUUUGUUUCUUGCGCUAUUCUGUAUUCUGUUUUAGUUUUUCCUUGCACUAUUUUGUGUUCUCUUUGUUUCUUUCCAUGGUAUGGAAUUGACUAAGAAGAUUUCCCCUUACAAUAGUAGCUAGACAUAUUCCAUGAAUGUUGUUGACUUAUUCCCUUAAAUAACUUGGUUUGUCUUACGUUGUUGGAGAUGUGUGUAAGGAAGCUUGAUGUUUGCUCAGUUAAAGUGUGAGGUUGAAGGAGAUGGCAGACUCACGCGGGAAGUCGAAGUGCUCGUUGUCGUUUGAAGAGGUAUACAACGGGACAGUAAACGAUAGUACUGGAGAGGUAGACGAUAACGUCAACAGGUAGACGAUAGUGUCAAGAGGUGGACGAUAGCACUUAGACAAGGUAAACGAUAGCGUCAAGAGAUAGACGAUAGCGUUUAGAGGAGGUAGACGAUGAUGUCUGAAGGAGGUAGACGAUAGCGUCAAGAGAUAAGACGAUAUCAUGUAGAUGAUGAUGUCAGGAGGUAGACGAUAGAUGAUAUCGUGUAGACGAUAGCGUCAUGAGGUAGAUGAUAGUAUCAGAAAAGGUAAACGAUAGUUUCAAUCAGGCAGACGAUACACGACAGUGGCAAGCCAACUUUUCCUUUAUAAUUUCUUGUAUAUGAAAUGUACAUAGGUGUUUGUAUUUAUACAAUAUGGAAUCCCUAAUUUGGGAAUGCAAGAAUAACUCAACAAAAGAGGUUAGACACUUGUUGUAACCAUCUUAUUCUUUUGGUAAAUCCUAUUCUUCUGGUAAAGAGGUAAGACUGUAAUUUAUGAAGUCUUGCACUGGUGACGAAGCUGCUGAGUGGAUUUUCCUUUGGUAACGUGGCUGACUGUGUUUGCAUCCUUAACAUGCUCUAGAUUAUGAGUUGGUUUGUUUUUUGUUUCCAAAUUGUUUUCUUAUAUUUUGAUAGCUAGAUUUUUUAAAAACCCUUCAACCAUUGCACAAAAUUAUUUUGAUAUGGCUAGUUUGGGUAUUAAGUUUGAAGUUGUUUGUACUUAGAAAAACAAAGUUGAUGAUAUUCAUUUUAUGUAAAUUUAGUAUGUUAGCCAUGUUAGAGCCAAUGUAAAGUUAAAGAACCUUAUUGAAUUGUCUAAGUUACCGUCAUUGAGAUAAUAAUCUUAUUGAAUUUCCUAAGUAAAGUUAAAGAUGAUGAGGCUGCUCUGUUAGGAUACUUGCAAUAUCAGCUUUUGCAAAGUUGCAUAGUUCAUCAAUUGAAACAAAGUUGCAAAGUUGUAUAAUUUUGUUUUGUAAUUAUUUUUGUAGGUGAAUGAAAUGAGGCUCUGCAUAUGGAUGGAGAUACAACUCACUAGGAUUUAUGUUGAAAGUGAAAUAUCUAAUUUAUGUGUAGUUUUUAUUUUUCUAUGAAUUAGGAGUAGACAUGAAUUGAGGUGCUUUGUUCAGAAAUCCAACUUCUUAAUAAGUGGAGACCAAGAACGGGUAAGGAAUCUAUCUAAAUGUUUGGAUGGAUCUCUGAGUUUAUGCUCACAUAUGAAGAUAGAGAGGGGGAUUGGAUGCUAGUUGAGAUGUUCAUUGGGGAUCUUGAAGUUUCUUUGGGGUUUCGAUGUUCACCACUUUCAAAAGGGAAGAUGAAUGGUUUUGAAGAUCACUUUGAACAGAAAAGGAAGAAUGCUUCUGCAAUGAUACUCCAUUGAUUUUUCCUUACGAAUGAGGAUCUUGGAGGGAUCUUGAAGACUUUGUCGA